GACGAACGCUGGCGGCGCGCUUAACACAUGCAAGUCGAGCGGAAAGGCCUGCUUUCCCUUGUGGAUUGCGGGUACUCGAGUGGCGAACGGGUGAGUAACACGUGAGUGAUCUGCCCCCAACUUGGGUAUAAGCCUGGGAAACUGGGUCUAAUUCCCGAUAGGACUGCAGGGUGGUGCCUGUGGUGGAAAACGAUUUUCUAGUGGUUGGGGAUGAGCUCGCGGCAUAUCAGCUUGUUGGUGGGGUAAUGGCCUACCAAGGCGGCGACGGGUAGCCGGCCUGGGAGGGUGGACGGCCACAUUGGGACUGAGAUACGGCCCAGACUCCUACGGGAGGAAGCAGUGGGGAAUAUUGCACAAUGGGCGGAAGCCUGAUGCAGCGACGCCGCGUGGGGGAUGACGGCCUUCGGGUUGUAAACUCCUUUCGACCGCGAGGAAGCCACCUGGUUGGAAGGGUGGUGACGGUAGUGGUAGAAGAAGCACCGGCUAACUACGUG
rnacentral:rRNA from 1 species